UACGAAGGGGGCGAGCGUUGUUCGGAUUUACUGGGCGUAAAGGGCGCGCAGGCGGCUAGUUUUGUCGAGUGUGAAAGCCCCGGGCUUAACCUGGGAACUGCGCUCGAAACGGGCUGGCUAGAGAUCGGGAGAGGAGAGUGGAAUUCCCAGUGUAGAGGUGAAAUUCGUAGAUAUUCGCAAGAACACCAGUGGCGAAGGCGGCUCACUGGCCCGGUACUGACGCUGAGGUGCGAAAGCGUGGGGAGCAAACAGG
rnacentral:rRNA from 1 species